GCCCGGUUAGCUCAAUCGGUAGAGCGUGAGACUCUUAAUCUCAAGGUUGCGGGUAAGUCGUUCUACCCAUCUGAACAAAAACGAUUCGAACUUCUCAGUACUAACCUACGCCAGGUUCGACCCCCGCAUUGGGCU